AUACAUUGAAAACAAAAUCUAUAUAAUAAUAACAUGGCCUGCAUCGGAGUUAUUUAACGUUUUUUCAACUAUUGCAUCAGAUUUUUUCGAAGAAAAUGAAUUUAGUUUUUUUUUUGACCAAGUCAAAUAUAUUAACCAGAAUGUAGCAUUAACUCCAAGCAUCUCCUUAGGUUACAUUAGAUAGAGAGGCAAAACCCGAUACGUGAUUCCGAAAUAAGCCAUGGACUAGUCAACAUCUUUUAUGUAUUAUUAGCUACUUGCGUGUUAAUGUUUCCUACUGGAAGAUGGUGUGUACAGUGUACGUGGUUAAUUUGUAAGGUUACCACACUAUUGCACGAUGACCAGAAAACGACCGACACACCACCAUUUCGUUCUAUUUAAAGUUUGAACUUAUGCUUCUUUAAUUUCUUCACACUCAUACAUCGGAAACAAAGAAAUCAUAGUUAUGGCUAAGUUUGCUUCCAUCUUCUCUCUUCUCUUUGCUAUUCUUGUUUUCUUUGCUGCACUCGAAGCACCAACAAUGGUGGAAGCACAGAAGCUGUGUGAGAGGCCAAGUAUUGGGACUGCGCGAGGAAUUUGUAGUGUCAGUAAUUUUCCGUGCAGGGAUCAUUGCAUCCGAGUUGAGAAAGUACCACAAGGAUAUUGCAAAUUUGGAUUCCCAAUUAACAAGUGUCUCUGUAUCUUUCCAUGUUAAUAGACUACAAUAUUUUGAUGCUUAAUAUUAUGCGUUUAAUUCACAUAAAUAUGUCCGUCUCACUCUAUGAGUGAGCUUAUGACAUGUGCCAGAGAUGAUUAUGUUGGUUUCUUAUAAUAGUAUAAAUUUUAUACUCUUGCCCAUAUUAUACUAUUCAUGCCACACGAACAUCAUUCGCAAUAAGGACUCAUAACUUCUCUAUAAUAUAUAAGUUAGAGCAUUCACACAAAACAAAAAUGUCAGAAACAAAAACUGGUGGUGCUUUGAAACUUUGAUUCGAAGCUUUGAACCGCUUAAUCAUUUUGAGAUUCUUGACCAAGUCAAAUUAACCAGUUUCUUAGGGUACAUUUGAUACAGAGAUAGUCUAAUAUAUGGUUGAAAAAACAGCCAUCGACUUAUUUAUCAACAUGCGUGUCAACAUCUUAUAUGUAUUAUUAGCUACUUGCGUACGUGUUAAUGUUUUCUACUGGAAGAUGGUGUGUACGUGGUUAAUUUGUGAGGUUAACACACAAUUGUACGCUGACAAGAAAACGACAGACACACCACCAUUUCGUUAUAUUUAAAGUUUGAACUUAUGCUUCUUUGUUCUUUCCAUACACUUCACACUCAUACAUCGGAAACAAAGUAAUCAUAGUCAUCAUGGCUAAGUUUGCUUCCAUUUUCUCUCUUCUCUUUGCUAUUCUUCUUUUCUUUGCUGCACUUGAAGCACCAACAAUGGUGGAGGCACAGAAGCUGUGUGGGAGGCCAAGUACUGGGACUAUGCGAGGAAUUUGUAAUUUUAGUAAUUUUGCGUGCAGGGAUCAUUGCAUCCGAGUUGAGGGAGCAAAACAUGGAUCUUGCAACGUUGCCUUCCCAGUUAACAAGUGUUCCUGUUUCUUCCCAUGUUAAUCGACUAGAAAUUUGUGACGGUUAAUUGUGUAAUUCACUUAUUCACAUAAAAUAAGUCUUGUCUCAUUCCAUGAGUGAGCUUAUGACAUGUACCAGAUAUGAUUAUGUUGGUUUCUUAUAAUAUUAUAAACUUGUACGCAUACCGUUGCCCAUAUUAAAUUGUUCAUGUCACACGAA